AGAGUUUGAUCCUGGCUCAGAGCGAACGCUGGCGGCAUGCUUAACACAUGCAAGUCGCACGGGCGGGGGCAACCCCGUCAGUGGCGGACGGGUGAGUAACGCGUAGGUAUCUGUCCCUGGGUGGGGGAUAACCGUGGGAAACUACGGCUAAUACCGCAUGAUACCCGAGGGUCAAAGGCGCAAGUCGCCUGGGGAGGAGC
rnacentral:rRNA from 1 species